UAGAAAUAUGUAAAUAUUUUGAGAAUCUUGGAGAUAAAUUAAAGAAAUACAAAUAGAGAAAUUAUGUACACCUGUUUAAAAACAGGUGGUCCAAUCGUUGAUUAUACAAUGGGUUUGGUGUAGCAUAAUACAUCGCUAAUUUUCUGCAUCCUGAAAAAGCAGCAUAUAUCUCUACGUGUCAAGUAUGCGCCACCCCAUGAACACCCUUGCUGGUCAUGUUUCAUCCGUACAUGCAUGUCCUUGCAUCCAUGGCUUCCACCAAAGUAGAUUUUUUUUAGAAGAUCCACCAAAGUAGAUGUGCUGGUGGACUGGAUCAGGGCCGUUGUCUGCAAUCUGGGCCUUCUUCCAGCAGAGGUUGCUGGGAUCGAACUCAACUCGUGAGGGAUUAGAAGAUUGAGGAUUCCACACAUAAAGGUGUAGAAGAUGUGGAAUUAGAUUGAGAUUAACCAUUAUCGAGUUAAGGAAAUAAAGCUACAACAUAAGAGAUGAGGAAUUAGAUGCAGAUCAAGUGUUACCGUGCUAGAGAAGGAAGGCUACAGAAAUUUGCAUGUCCUUGCAUCCAUGGCAUCCACCAAAUUAGAUGUGUUGGCGGACUCAAUUAAGGCCGUCCUAUGGGAUCUUCUCCUUCUUCCGGCAAAGGUUUCAUGGAUGGAACUCACCUCGCGAGGGUGAGGAAGAUUGAAUAUUCUGGGCAGAAAAGAAUAGAAGAUGAGGAAUUAGAUG
rnacentral:lncRNA from 1 species